rnacentral:rRNA from 1 species
ACACCCUCGCACGGUGAAACCGCGNNUGGCUCAUUAAAUCAGUCGAGGUUCCUUAGAUGAUCCAUUUCUACUUGGAUAACUGUGGCAAUUCUAGAGCUAAUACAUGCGGACCAGCUCCGACCCGGUGUCGCAGCCGGGAAAGAGCGCUUUUAUUAGUUCAAAACCAGUCGGCUCGUCCGCCCCUUCGCGGGGGUGCCGUCAGCCGUCCCCUUUUGGUGACUCUGGAUAACUUUGUGCCGAUCGCAUGGCCUCGAGCCGGCGACGCAUCUUUCAAAUGUCUGCCCUAUCAAAUGUCGAUGGUACGUGACAGGCCUACCAUGUUGACUACGGGUGACGGGGAAUCGGGGUUCGAUUCCGGAGAGGGAGCAUGAGAAAGGGCUACCACAUCCAAGGAAGGCAGAGGCGCGCA